UACUCGAGUGGCGAACGGGUGAGUAACACGUGGGUGAUCUGCCCUGCACUUCGGGAUAAGCUUGGGAAACUGGGUCUAAUACCGGAUAGGAGCCAUCUUUAGUGUGGUGGUUGGAAAGUUUUUUCGGUGUAGGAUGAGCUCGCGGCCUAUCAGCUUGUUGGUGGGGUAAUGGCCUACCAAGGCGGCGACGGGUAGCCGGCCUGAGAAGGUGUACGGCCACAUUGGGACUGAGAUACGGCCCAG
rnacentral:rRNA from 1 species